rnacentral:piRNA from 1 species
UCCCAGAUGAGAUGAAAGUAGGCAAGACA